AUUAUUUUUCAUGUAACAUUGCUACAGUCGGAGAAAUAUAGAUUUCGGUUUUUUUAGAGAUAUCAUCAUUUCUCUAAUUCUCUCAAUUGCCAUUGGAAAUAACAUGCGAAAUGAGAGAAUACAGAUAAACGAUGAAAACGAUGAUGUCUCUUAAAAUCCCGAAAUCUAUUUUUUCCGACUCUGUAUUGAGGUGAAAU